rnacentral:rRNA from 1 species
AAGCCCAGAGGAUUCAGUCGGCUAGGGUGUAGUGUAUGCGCCUGCGCAUCGAACGGCCAGUGUAGGAUUGGAUAGUCUACUGGAAGACAGUGGGCCCUGCCGCAAGGUGGGGAUGUGUGUACCGGGCGGAGGCCGGAGCACGCUAUCCGUCUAUUGGGCUGCCUAGCCGGUGCACUUUCUCUGUGGUGAACACCACGACCGGUGGAACUGCCAGUCUGUCAUUGUCAAGUCGUAGUGGGCGGGCUUUCGGGUCUGCCUGCUGUGAUCACGGGCGUACUCGGUGAACGGCGUUGGUGCAUCUUUACGGUGUGCUGACGUGUUAUCGGCUACUGGUCGCUUAAACGGGCCUGCCUGGCGCAUGUUAUAGCCGUGCGUUGGGUGGUCUGGUGGACUUUGAUGGUAAGAAUAACUGUGCAGGGCACCGGAGUUUUCGGCCUCAAAUGCAGUCUGCAUGCAUGCUAUGAGUGUGUCUUGUAUGUGGGUGUCGUCGCGGGCUGGCUGUUGUUGGAUCUGAUUGUCGUGUCGCCUACGAAAAG